rnacentral:rRNA from 1 species
UUCCCAUUCCGAACACAGCAGUUAAGCUCACUCGUGCCCAAGAUAGUUAGCUGGAAACGGCUUGUGAAAAUAGGUAGCCGCCGACU